rnacentral:lncRNA from 1 species
AUUGGAUAAAUCAGGAGUCCAAACUUGGUAAGGAUCCGUGACACCACUCGCAUGACAGGAUGAUCGAGUCGAUCAUGCCAAAUGGAGAUAGAUGUCUUCUCGCUAAAGAGAACUCGAGCGGCACUAUCUUUAUUGGAGGUAAAAAGAUGAUAGAGACUCGUUCAAGCCGACUGUAGAGCAGAGGCUAUCGAGUUACCUGAUCCUUCACGAUAACAUGAA